GUCUACGGCCAUGCUACCCUGAACAAGCCCAAUCCCAUCUGAUCUCGGAAGCUAAGCAGGGUCGGGCCUGGUUAGUACUUGGAUGGGAGACCACCUAGGAAGACAGGUACUGUAGGCA
rnacentral:rRNA from 1 species